UACGUAGGGUGCAAGCGUUGUCCGGAAUUAUUGGGCGUAAAGAGCUCGUAGGCGGUCUGUCGCGUCUGCUGUGAAAACUCAGGGCUUAACCCUGAGCUUGCAGUGGGUACGGGCAGACUAGAGUGCGGUAGGGGAGACUGGAAUUCCUGGUGUAGCGGUGAAAUGCGCAGAUAUCAGGAGGAACACCGGUGGCGAAGGCGGGUCUCUGGGCCGUAACUGACGCUGAGGAGCGAAAGCAUAGGGAGCGAACAGG
rnacentral:rRNA from 1 species